GAUUCGAUGCUGAUAGCAAACAUUUGGCAGAUUUUCUUUUUCAUGUGGACAGUAGACCAAGUCCAAUCUCGUGAAAGUUCAACCGGUGAUGUUUAUCAGUAUUCUCUGGGUUGGCCACUUUUGACAUGUCCGCCGAUCGUAAUACACGUUUGGGCCUAACUCCUGGCGCCUAAAAAAAAACCUGUCACGGCCAACGUAGCGCACGCAGUGAGUUGCAUCUCGGAGCUGGCACAGAUCUCAGCGUGGUAUAUACCCUGUAUAGCACAGCAUGCAGCUGUGGGGUUUACUUCUAGCCAGUCUUCUGGUGUUUUCCCACCUCGAUCGGUCAGACUCUGGAAUUGUACGAGUGCGGAGGAGCGGAGGCAAUGGUAUCAAGAAAGAUGGUAAUUGUCCACCGGUGAAUAGUGAAGUUGUGCAAAGUUUCAUCGGAUUCUACCCGUGCCCAAAUGAUUGCCGAAUCGAAAUUUCCGACUACGAUUGCCCGGGGAUAUUGAAAUGUUGCCCAACAGGCUGCGACGGCUCGAGCUUCUCAUGUAUGGUACCAGACGCUCCCUGAUGACGAGAUUCCUGUAAUAAAUGAGAACAGGCAAGAUGGAGUGUUUGAACGGCUUCCCAACCUCUGGACAUUUACCCUACCUGCCGUAUGUCGGGAAUUAUAUAUUAAAAAAACAAACCAGAAGGGUUCAUCGAAGACCCUUGGAAACCACUGAAAAAAAAUACAGGUUAUUUAAUAAUAUAGAAACUUUCAUAUGUUAUACUAAAUAUAGUGAAAUGUAUUCGAAUGUUAUCCGAGUGAUUGUAUUGCCUUGUUUUAUUUCGUUUUAUUUUUAAUUUGAAAUUAUUUUGAUUUAGUUUAUUUUAAUUAAAAAAAAUACACACAUUUCAGAGAUACAAAUGAGGAAAGUGUAAUACUGCAAUUUCGCUUGCUGAAAGUCAUGAUGUGAUGACAACAUCAAAUUUUGUAUGUAAGUAUGGCAUGUUCUAUACAUAAGGUACAUGUACACCUAUCUGUUGUAUUAUAAAAAAAAAUAACCUAGGUAAUUAAUAUUCCUAAGUGCAUAGUAUAUUAGUUUAUUUUUAAUAUAAUUAUGUAUUGUCUGUAACCCAGAUGUAUUCCACGUAAACAAAAUAUAUUGAGCUUGCAUAAAAUGUUUGGUGAAGACAUAUUUCAAUGUACUCCUUAUUUUCAAAUGAUCUUCCGCUCGUGAAACCCUGUAUACCAUGAUUUUUGUCAUAAAAGUAAUGCAAAGGCAAACAAUGUAUAUUGGAGAGUUUAAGUUUGACGUACUGGGCGCUAGUAUGGCGGGAAAAUUCAGAUGUUCGUCUGAAAAAAUGUAAAUGCAACAGUUUCAGACUGUGAUUUUGACUGUGAAUACCAUCAUGGCAAAUGCACAAUUACUUUAAUAUACAACACAAUCAUGAAAACCAGGGAGGAUAGGAUUCAGUGCAAUGGGGUGAUUGGGGAAGGAAAUGAGGGAAGUAGAGUUGUAAUGACUCGACUCGAGUCACAAUUUUUGGUGACUUGACUCCUAUCGAGUC